CCCCGGCUGGCUCAGUUGGAAGAGCAUGCAACUCUUCAUUUCAGGGUCAUGGGUUCGAGCCCUAUGUUGGGUA
rnacentral:tRNA from 1 species